UGGGAUGUAGCUCAGUGGUAGAGCUGUUACCUAGCAUGUAUUAGGUCCUGGGCUCUAUCCCCCCAUCUCUA
rnacentral:tRNA from 1 species